CUUAGGCUCCCAAAGGCA
rnacentral:snRNA from 1 species